UACGAAGGGGGCUAGCGUUGCUCGGAAUCACUGGGCGUAAAGCGCACGUAGGCGGCUUUUUAAGUCAGGGGUGAAAUCCUGGAGCUCAACUCCAGAACUGCCUUUGAUACUGGGAAGCUCGAGUCCGGAAGAGGUGAGUGGAACUCCGAGUGUAGAGGUGAAAUUCGUAGAUAUUCGGAAGAACACCAGUGGCGAAGGCGACUUACUGGACACAUAUUGACGCUGAGGUGCGAAAGCGUGGGGAGCAAACAGG
rnacentral:rRNA from 1 species